UACGGUAGGUGCAAGCGUUGUCCGGAAUUAUUGGGCGUAAAGGAGCUAGCGUAGGCGGUCUGUCGCGUCGUGCUGUGAAAACUCGGGGCCUUAACCCCGGGCCUGCAGUGGGUACGGGGCAGACUAGAGUGCGGUAGGGGAGACUGGAAUUCCUGGUGUAGCGGUGGAAUGCGCAGAUAUCAGGGAGGAACAGCCGGUGGGCGAAGGCGGGUUCUCUGGGCAUUACCUGACGCUGAGGAGCGAAAGGUGUGGGGAGCGAACAGG
rnacentral:rRNA from 1 species